AACGGCAGCAUACGAAGUUGACGU
rnacentral:siRNA from 1 species